rnacentral:rRNA from 1 species
UCCAGACUCCUACGGGAGGCAGCAGUGGGGAAUAUUGCACAAUGGGGGAAACCCUGAUGCAGCAACGCCGCGUGAGUGAGGAAGUAUUUCGGUAUGUAAAGCUCCAUCAGCAGGAAAGAAAAUGACGGUACCUGACUAAGAAGCCCCGGCUAACUACGUGCCAGCAGCCGCGGUAAUACGUAGGGGGCAAGCGUUAUCCGGAUUUACUGGGUGUAAAGGGAGCGUAGACGGUGAAGCAAGCCUGAAGUGAAAGGCGGGGGCUCAACCCCCGGACUGCUUUGGAAACUGUUUGACUGGAGUGCAGGAGAGGUAAGUGGAAUUCCUAGUGUAGCGGUGAAAUGCGUAGAUAUUAGGAGGAACACCAGUGGCGAAGGCGGCUUACUGGACUGUAACUGACGUUGAGGCUCGAAAGCGUGGGGAGCAAACAGGAUUAGAUACCCGUGUAA